rnacentral:lncRNA from 1 species
UUUGUUUGGGCGUGCUGGUCGUUUGAAUAAGGCAUUAGAGACCAUAAACAGUAUGCCAUUUGCACCUGAUGCAGGUGUCUGGGGAACGUUGCUGGGAGCAUGUCGGGUCCAUGGCAAUGUUGAGCUAGCUGAAGUGGCUUCAAGUCAUCUGUUUGAUUUAGACCCACAAAACUCAGGCUACUAUGUGCUGCUUUCAAAUAUACAUGCUGAUGCUGGACAGUGGGGAAAUGUGAAUAAGAUACGACGUUUAAUGAAAGAAAGAGGAGUUCAGAAGAUACCCGGGUAUAGCUGGAUUGAGCUCAAUAACAUAACCCAUUUGUUUGUUGCUGCAGAUGAAAGUCAUUCAGAGUCUGCCCAGAUCUACUCUUUGUUGAACAUUCUUCUUCCAGAGCUGGAAAAGGAGGGUUACAUCCCUCAACCCUGCCUUUCAAUGCACCUGCAAGCCUUAGGUAUGUGAUUACCGGAGAAGGUUCGAUCUUUCCGACUGACAAGGAGCUCUGCACAUUCUUGUGAACUUACCAUAUUUUGUUAUUUAUAAACCGGUAAACACUAUAGGAAAAUUCAACUGAACCCAAUUAGAAUUUGACUUAAAAACACUUUGUAGGAUUUAUAUAAAUGCAAUGUGUAACACAUCUAUUUUGACAAAUAUCAAUAUAUGAGCCAUCAAAUUUUGAAGCUCUCGAGCUAUGUUUCCGGAAAGGAUAGUCUAAAAAAUUUGAGAAGAUAUUUGCACAAACAAAUAAUAUGAGAAAAGGAGAAAUAAAUUGAUUGAAGCAACUAGAGGAAUUGCUAUGAGAACCAGGAUAUGAACGAAAAGUAUUCGACUAUAUAUGCACAUUUGAUCUCUUCUUGAGUAAAAAUAUACAUGAGUGAUUGGUAGUUAAUAAAUAAAAAAAAAUUAAAUUCUACUCAUAUAUUAUUACUUAAAUACACAUGAGAUAAGAUCAUUAAAAGCUCACGAGGGAUCUUUAUCCGUUAAAAAUUCCUGCAAGUGACCAAAAUCAACGCUAAUUGGGCCAAGUGUUCGUCUGCCUGCGGGUUUUUAACUUACCCAGCUUUGGCCUUGCCUACGUUUGUAAACCAUGUAAAAUGGGGUGACUGUUCACAUAAAAGAACAGGCUUCCUGCACCACUACUUUGUUGAGAAAUGAAGAGUUGGGUCUUCUUAAAUUAAUGCCUAUUUUGUGGAUGAAAAAAGAUGUCUGCUGAGUAAGUAACAUCUCAUAAA